rnacentral:rRNA from 1 species
GGUUAAGCGACUAAGCGUACACGGUGGAUGCCCUGGCAGUCAGAGGCGAUGAAGGACGUGCUAAUCUGCGAUAAGCGUCGGUAAGGUGAUAUGAACCGUUAUAACCGGCGAUUUCCGAAUGGGGAAACCCAGUGUGUUUCGACACACUAUCAUUAACUGAAUCCAUAGGUUAAUGAGGCGAACCGGGGGAACUGAAACAUCUAAGUACCCCGAGGAAAAGAAAUCAACCGAGAUUCCCCCAGUAGCGGCGAGCGAACGGGGAGCAGCCCAGAGCCUGAAUCAGUGUGUGUGUUAGUGGAAGCGUCUGGAAAGGCGCGCGAUACAGGGUGACAGCCCCGUACACAAAAAUGCACAUGCUGUGAGCUCGAUGAGUAGGGCGGGACACGUGGUAUCCUGUCUGAAUAUGGGGGGACCAUCCUCCAAGGCUAAAUACUCCUGACUGACCGAUAGUGAACCAGUACCGUGAGGGAAAGGCGAAAAGAACCCCGGCGAGGGGAGUGAAAAAGAACCUGAAACCGUGUACGUACAAGCAGUGGGAGCACGCUUAGGCGUGUGACUGCGUACCUUUUGUAUAAUGGGUCAGCGACUUAUAUUCUGUAGCAAGGUUAACCGAAUAGGGGAGCCGAAGGGAAACCGAGUCUUAACUGGGCGUUAAGUUGCAGGGUAUAGACCCGAAACCCGGUGAUCUAGCCAUGGGCAGGUUGAAGGUUGGGUAACACUAACUGGAGGACCGAACCGACUAAUGUUGAAAAAUUAGCGGAUGACUUGUGGCUGGGGGUGAAAGGCCAAUCAAACCGGGAGAUAGCUGGUUCUCCCCGAAAGCUAUUUAGGUAGCGCCUCGUGAACUCAUCUCCGGGGGUAGAGCACUGUUUCGGCAAGGGGGUCAUCCCGACUUACCAACCCGAUGCAAACUGCGAAUACCGGAGAAUGUUAUCACGGGAGACACACGGCGGGUGCUAACGUCCGUCGUGAAGAGGGAAACAACCCAGACCGCCAGCUAAGGUCCCAAAGUCAUGGUUAAGUGGGAAACGAUGUGGGAAGGCCCAGACAGCCAGGAUGUUGGCUUAGAAGCAGCCAUCAUUUAAAGAAAGCGUAAUAGCUCACUGGUCGAGUCGGCCUGCGCGGAAGAUGUAACGGGGCUAAACCAUGCACCGAAGCUGCGGCAGCGACGCUUAUGCGUUGUUGGGUAGGGGAGCGUUCUGUAAGCCUGUGAAGGUGUGCUGUGAGGCAUGCUGGAGGUAUCAGAAGUGCGAAUGCUGACAUAAGUAACGAUAAAGCGGGUGAAAAGCCCGCUCGCCGGAAGACCAAGGGUUCCUGUCCAACGUUAAUCGGGGCAGGGUGAGUCGACCCCUAAGGCGAGGCCGAAAGGCGUAGUCGAUGGGAAACAGGUUAAUAUUCCUGUACUUGGUGUUACUGCGAAGGGGGGACGGAGAAGGCUAUGUUGGCCGGGCGACGGUUGUCCCGGUUUAAGCGUGUAGGCUGGUUUUCCAGGCAAAUCCGGAAAAUCAAGGCUGAGGCGUGAUGACGAGGCACUACGGUGCUGAAGCAACAAAUGCCCUGCUUCCAGGAAAAGCCUCUAAGCAUCAGGUAACAUCAAAUCGUACCCCAAACCGACACAGGUGGUCAGGUAGAGAAUACCAAGGCGCUUGAGAGAACUCGGGUGAAGGAACUAGGCAAAAUGGUGCCGUAACUUCGGGAGAAGGCACGCUGAUAUGUAGGUGAAGCGACUUGCUCGUGGAGCUGAAAUCAGUCGAAGAUACCAGCUGGCUGCAACUGUUUAUUAAAAACACAGCACUGUGCAAACACGAAAGUGGACGUAUACGGUGUGACGCCUGCCCGGUGCCGGAAGGUUAAUUGAUGGGGUCAGCGCAAGCGAAGCUCUUGAUCGAAGCCCCGGUAAACGGCGGCCGUAACUAUAACGGUCCUAAGGUAGCGAAAUUCCUUGUCGGGUAAGUUCCGACCUGCACGAAUGGCGUAAUGAUGGCCAGGCUGUCUCCACCCGAGACUCAGUGAAAUUGAACUCGCUGUGAAGAUGCAGUGUACCCGCGGCAAGACGGAAAGACCCCGUGAACCUUUACUAUAGCUUGACACUGAACAUUGAGCCUUGAUGUGUAGGAUAGGUGGGAGGCUUGGAAGUGUGGACGCCAGUCUGCAUGGAGCCGACCUUGAAAUACCACCCUUUAAUGUUUGAUGUUCUAACGUUGACCCGUAAUCCGGGUUGCGGACAGUGUCUGGUGGGUAGUUUGACUGGGGCGGUCUCCUCCUAAAGAGUAACGGAGGAGCACGAAGGUUGGCUAAUCCUGGUCGGACAUCAGGAGGUUAGUGCAAUGGCAUAAGCCAGCUUGACUGCGAGCGUGACGGCGCGAGCAGGUGCGAAAGCAGGUCAUAGUGAUCCGGUGGUUCUGAAUGGAAGGGCCAUCGCUCAACGGAUAAAAGGUACUCCGGGGAUAACAGGCUGAUACCGCCCAAGAGUUCAUAUCGACGGCGGUGUUUGGCACCUCGAUGUCGGCUCAUCACAUCCUGGGGCUGAAGUAGGUCCCAAGGGUAUGGCUGUUCGCCAUUUAAAGUGGUACGCGAGCUGGGUUUAGAACGUCGUGAGACAGUUCGGUCCCUAUCUGCCGUGGGCGCUGGAGAACUGAGGGGGGCUGCUCCUAGUACGAGAGGACCGGAGUGGACGCAUCACUGGUGUUCGGGUUGUCAUGCCAAUGGCACUGCCCGGUAGCUAAAUGCGGAAGAGAUAAGUGCUGAAAGCAUCUAAGCACGAAACUUGCCCCGAGAUGAGUUCUCCCUGACCCUUUAAGGGUCCUGAAGGAACGUUGAAGACGACGACGUUGAUAGGCCGGGUGUGUAAGCGCAGCGAUGCGUUGAGCUAACCGGUACUAAUGAACCGUGAGGCUUAACCUU